rnacentral:rRNA from 1 species
GUUGUAUGGUUAAGUGACUAAGCGUACACGGUGGAUGCCUUGGCAGUCAGAGGCGAUGAAAGGCGUAAUAACUUGCGAUAAGCCCAGAUUAGGUAGUAAUAAC